rnacentral:rRNA from 1 species
AGAGUUUGAUCCUGGCUCAGGAUGAACGCUGGCGGCGUGCCUAAUACAUGCAAGUCGAGCGAACGGAAGAGAAGCUUGCUUCUCUGAUGUUAGCGGCGGACGGGUGAGUAACACGUGGAUAACCUACCUAUAAGACUGGGAUAACUUCGGGAAACCGGAGCUAAUACCGGAUAAUAUUUUGAACCGCAUGGUUCAAAAGUGAAAGACGGUCUUGCUGUCACUUAUAGAUGGAUCCGCGCUGCAUUAGCUAGUUGGUAAGGUAACGGCUUACCAAGGCAACGAUGCAUAGCCGACCUGAGAGGGUGAUCGGCCACACUGGAACUGAGACACGGUCCAGACUCCUACGGGAGGCAGCAGUAGGGAAUCUUCCGCAAUGGGCGAAAGCCUGACGGAGCAACGCCGCGUGAGUGAUGAAGGUCUUCGGAUCGUAAAACUCUGUUAUUAGGGAAGAACAUAUGUGUAAGUAACUGUGCACAUCUUGACGGUACCUAAUCAGAAAGCCACGGCUAACUACGUGCCAGCAGCCGCGGUAAUACGUAGGUGGCAAGCGUUAUCCGGAAUUAUUGGGCGUAAAGCGCGCGUAGGCGGUUUUUUAAGUCUGAUGUGAAAGCCCACGGCUCAACCGUGGAGGGUCAUUGGAAACUGGAAAACUUGAGUGCAGAAGAGGAAAGUGGAAUUCCAUGUGUAGCGGUGAAAUGCGCAGAGAUAUGGAGGAACACCAGUGGCGAAGGCGACUUUCUGGUCUGUAACUGACGCUGAUGUGCGAAAGCGUGGGGAUCAAACAGGAUUAGAUACCCUGGUAGUCCACGCCGUAAACGAUGAGUGCUAAGUGUUAGGGGGUUUCCGCCCCUUAGUGCUGCAGCUAACGCAUUAAGCACUCCGCCUGGGGAGUACGACCGCAAGGUUGAAACUCAAAGGAAUUGACGGGGACCCGCACAAGCGGUGGAGCAUGUGGUUUAAUUCGAAGCAACGCGAAGAACCUUACCAAAUCUUGACAUCCUUUGACAACUCUAGAGAUAGAGCCUUCCCUUUCGGGGGACAAAGUGACAGGUGGUGCAUGGUUGUCGUCAGCUCGUGUCGUGAGAUGUUGGGUUAAGUCCCGCAACGAGCGCAACCCUUAAGCUUAGUUGCCAUCAUUAAGUUGGGCACUCUAAGUUGACUGCCGGUGACAAACCGGAGGAAGGUGGGGAUGACGUCAAAUCAUCAUGCCCCUUAUGAUUUGGGCUACACACGUGCUACAAUGGACAAUACAAAGGGCAGCGAAACCGCGAGGUCAAGCAAAUCCCAUAAAGUUGUUCUCAGUUCGGAUUGUAGUCUGCAACUCGACUACAUGAAGCUGGAAUCGCUAGUAAUCGUAGAUCAGCAUGCUACGGUGAAUACGUUCCCGGGUCUUGUACACACCGCCCGUCACACCACGAGAGUUUGUAACACCCGAAGCCGGUGGAGUAACCUUUUAGGAGCUAGCCGUCGAAGGUGGGACAAAUGAUUGGGGUGAAGUCGUAACAAGGUAGCCGUAUCGGAAGGUGCGGCUGGAUCACCU